rnacentral:rRNA from 1 species
GAUGAACGCUGGCGGCGUGCUUAACACAUGCAAGUCGAACGGUGAAGGCGGAGCUUGCUCUGCUGGAUCAGUGGCGAACGGGUGAGUAACACGUGAGCAAUCUGCCCCUGACUCUGGGAUAAGCGCUGGAAACGGCGUCUAAUACUGGAUACGAGCUGCGAAGGCAUCUUCAGCAGCUGGAAAGAACUUCGGUCAGGGAUGAACUCGCGGCCUAUCAGCUUGUUGGUGGGGUAGUGGCUUACCAAGGCUUCGACGGGUAGCCGGCCUGAGAGGGUGACCGGCCACAUUGGGACUGAGACACGGCCCAGACUCCUACGGGAGGCAGCAGUGGGGAAUAUUGCACAAUGGGCGGAAGCCUGAUGCAGCAACGCCGCGUGCGGGAUGACGGCCUUCGGGUUGUAAACCGCUUUUGCCUGGGACGAAGCGAAAGUGACGGUACCUGGUGAAAAAGCGCCGGCUAACUACGUG